rnacentral:lncRNA from 1 species
GCAGUUCUGUUCUUUGAAGAAACUCUUCACUGAAGAGAAAAGCUACAUUAAAGCUAAUGGUCACUACGGCUCAUACCGCUUCAUCAACACAUGCGUCCUUGAUGCACUUCUCGUUGCUCUUCAUGUCUGUCACACCAAAUAUAAACACAUUCAGGAACUCUUCCAAUCUGACCGGACGAUGUAUCCAGUCAUGGCUUUUUUAGAUCAACACAGGUACAAUGAAGCCAAAGCUCUGUGGCUGAUGAAGUUAAAUCUUUUUUCUGAUGAUUGCAAUUUCAAAAUGUCUGGUACAGUCAACGUUUGGAGUACAGUCAAAGACCACCUGCCAAUGUUUUACGACAUGAAAUCUUCCCGAGACCAUUUUUCUGAAACUGGAGCCAAUCAUGGAGCUGCUGAUCGUCUACAUAAAAGCAUCCUUGGGGAGUUCCAGCGCUUUAAGGAAGUGAUAUCUUUGGGCAGUUACGGAGACCCCUGCUUAAUACUGAUUAACAGUGAUGCUGGUAUGGACAGAGCCCCUCCCCUGAAAGUCAAGGACAAGUAUGACAGGACCUUCGAGCUUCAGUUCAUGCUCUUAUGGAAGAAGAGUGUGGCAGUAGAACACAUGGUUGUGUGCUGCAAUCUUGGAGAUCAAUGGGUCCUGUACGAUAAUAAUCCUGAUGUGCCACCCGAUCAAGAUUUCAACUUUGACUCUGCGGACUAUAAAAAUCAGUAUCCUAUUUACUUGACUGGCUAUGUCAACACUACACAACAAGAAAGAGAGUGAUGGCGUCACUUUGUCUGAAGUGGGAUUAAGACCUCAUCAUGGACCAACACCAUGGGAUUGGAAGUCUGAUUUAGAAUAUAAAAUACUUUCUGAACAAACAAUUUUAUUUUAAGCUACCUUAUUUUAGACUCAUGUCGUCUUUUUGCUGUGGAAUGCUAGGAGCAUGCUCUACGAAGCCGACACACAUGUUAUGAAAAUCAACAACUAACUUAAAGUAUCUCCAUACGUCUGACUUUCCUUAGCAUUGGACCAAAGGUAGCUCACCUGAUGUCAUUUUUUUGCCAUAGCUUAGCCAUAGCUUUAUAUAAAAAAAAAAAAAAAAACAGAACCUGACCCAGGCUGAGGAAAGUUGUUUUUAAAUGAAGGUUUUU